GGCGAGGUGGUGUAGUGGCUAACACGACUGGUCGACAGCAAACGCCCGUUGGUGUGCGCUGCGCCGGUAGCCGCGGGUUCAAGUCCCAGCCCUCGCCC